UCCCUGGUGGCCCAGUGGUCAGGGCUCUGCAUUUCCAGUGCAGAGGUGAGAGGCUUCGAUCCCUGAUUGGGGAA
rnacentral:tRNA from 1 species